CCGACUGGGCGACCGGGGGGAGCGGCCCCCCCCCUCUGCGGACCGGGCUGCAGGCACGGGCCUGAGCGCGGCGUUCCUCAGAUGUCUGGACCCGCAGGCCGCUCAGUUUCCCGGUGUCCGCUGGCAGCCUCGAGCUAGGGGCGCGCUCUGGCCCGCGGUGCAGUCGCGCAGUAUAGCAGGGCGGCCUUGGGGCUCUGAGGCCCAACCGGCGAAAGAAGUAGACUCGGCCCUAACCAUCUCGACGCUACAAUUUUUGUUUCUGGAUCUCUGAGCUGGGGAGUGAGUGCUGUGGAGUGAGGGGGAAAUAAGAUAAACAUGAGACCUGGCCCAGUAGACGCGUUUUCAGUUCUUGCUGACCUGCGGUCUCCGCUUGGAGCGCUGGGGGAGAGGGCGGAGUCCCCCGGCAGAGGUGAAGCGAGAGCUGCUUUCUGGCAGCGUUUCCAGCCUGGAAGGAGUUGUGCUCUGUAAUGCUUUUCUGAAUUGCAUUCGGCGAAAGGAGUAGGAAACUGCGUUUAUUCCUUCACCAGAUUUGAGGGCAUCUGCUGCGUGCCAGGCUGCCUGGCAUUGGGGGCUGUUUAUGAUUUUCUUUUCCUCUUUUUCUGAUUUCUUCCCCCCCACUGACGAAUAAGUAGAAAUAAGUGAGGAUUUAACUGUGAGCCUCUAGUAUGCAGAUGUAUGCUGAGCGGUAUUGGGGUUCAGCAGAUACUCUCCAAACACUUGAAAAUACUGUCUUGUAAUAAUUCUAUUAUGGGUCAAUCCAGAG
rnacentral:lncRNA from 1 species